AGAUAUUAUUCCCUUGUAGUGUAGUUUAAUAGCUAUCUACAUAGUAACUUAACAUUAAGUAUGUUAGUUUAUAUAUUAUAGUAUGACUUUAACAAUUUUGUUAAUAAAUUGAAAAUGUUAGUAUUAGUAAUAUUAGUAUGUGUGCUAAAGGAACUCGGCAAAAAACCGCUCAACUGUUUAUCAAAAACAUAGCUAUAUGAAUUAGUAUAUAGUUGUUUCUGCUCAAUGACUUAAAUAGCCGCAGUACUCUGACUGUGCAAAGGUAGCAUAAUCAGUUGGCUUUUAAUUAAAGUCUGGUAUGAACGAAAAUAUGGGUAGUAACUGUCUUAGCACAUUUCUUUGAACUUGUUAAACAAGUGCAAAUGCUUGUAAUUAAACAAUAGACGAGAAGACCCUAGAAACUUGGACAUAUUUUUGUUGGGGCGACAGAAUUACAUUUAACUAAUCUUCUAAUACAUGACGCGAUGCUGAAAGAAUAAGUUACUCUAGGGAUAACAGCAUAAUUUCAUUAGUUUGUGACCUCGAUGUUGGACUAGGUACUAUACCCUUAAGGCAAGGAUAUAUUGUGCUCUGUUCGAGCAAAAUUACCUACAUGAUCUGAG
rnacentral:rRNA from 1 species